ACGUUCUUCCUGGCCGCAGAAGAAUCACUUAUACAUGUCACACACCUGGAACAACAAAAAAGUCAGAAAAAAGUCCGACGGUAUUCAUGAGUCUAUGAGCUCGUGCAGGAAGACAGCCGCUGGCGUGGGCCCGUCCGGAUGUUGUGGUGACUCACCGCCGCAUUAAGCGCCUGCUGGACAGUACGCCUAGUGAUUUUAACCUGUAUAUAGACAGGUGUGGGUGACACAUCCCUUAGUAACACCAUGCACCCAACAGUGCUGGCGGUUGGCUAGGGUCUCGUGGUGCUUCUCGGGGAUAUUUUCUGUCGCAAGGUUUGGUGGUAGGUAGUUCCUGUGAAACGGUCAGGUGGCCGCCCUUCGGAGAUUCCCCACUUGUAUAAAAUAGACACACGCUGCUCGGUGGACGCACUCAAGGUCUUCAGCUCGUGUUGGUGUGAGGUUCGCUCCUGUUUGCUGCGUCCCUACUCCCGCUGCCUCGAAAGACUGUGUAUCAAAGAAUCUCGGCAUUAGUGUGCACGCUCCCUUAGCCAGCCCUCCGCACUCAAGCGUUCCUCCCGCCGUCGCCACCAUGCAAAUAGUCACGAUGAUCACCGCCCUGCUGCUGCCGCUGCUGCUGCUGGUGCUGCCCUCGACCGCUGCAGUUUUUGAAAGCAGAGCCGUGAGGGUGGCCCGGCAGACCUCCGGAGUCCCUUCCGCCUUCCCUGACGGCACGAGGAUUCCCGUCAAAUUCGCCGGUGGACAAAACGCGGUGGUGCCCGGCGUGGGCGCCCUCAUCGGCCACUCGCCCAACAGCAUCAGCAACCGCAACUUUCCACCCAUCGUGUUCGGCCCUCGCAGACAGCCGUCCCGCUUCCCCGGGCCAUUCAGGCCAUUCAGGCCAUUCAGGCCCGACCCCUGGUUCAGCGGGCCCUUCUUCUGAUCAGCUGUUGUGGUCUUUAGUACAUAUAAUUUAUUGAAAAAUUUUAAAGUUGGAUUUUCUGUAUUUUUUUUAAUGAACUUUUGAAUAAAAAGAGAAAAUAAAACCCCAACCCACUUUGAUAUUCGAAUAACACGAGUGUAGGAACACAACGUGUGUGAUAAUCUGAGUGACCAGUUUAGAAAAAGUGACAUGAAACACCUAAGAUGACUAGAAAUGAAAGGACUCCUGCAUCAUUAAGAAGCUGCAACACACACACACACACACACACACACACACACACACACACACACACACACACACACACACACACACACACACACACACACACACACACACACACACACACAUUUCACCCCCCCCCCCACACACACACACACCAUAAUAUAAAGAUAUAAACAUAUAUACAUAUUCAUAGACAUCUUUUCUUGAAGUUGGGGAAACAUGAUCUUGGUUUUGAACAAAUACAUACAAUGGCUAUAAUUACGAUAAAUCGAUAUUUGUGUUAAAAUAUAGACCAAUCAUUCUUAUAAAAUUUCUAAGCAACAGCAGAGAUUCGGAAAAAAAACCAGUUGACCAUAUCUGUAGUUUUCGUUCUAUGAAUUCCUUGGGUGACGUCAUUCCAUUAUUAUGUAUUGCACAACAGCGUAACAUUGUGAGUCCUUCAAGGUGUUAUUAUCAGGUAGCGUGUACCUUCGAGAGGGAAACAUACACCAAAGCAAGCAAGAGAACAAAGACUCUCAAAGUCCACGGUGUGUGUGCAAUUCACCACCACCACGGCCUGAUCACGUGUUGGACUCGUAAUCGCCAGCAGGUACCCUCCGACACGAGCAAGUGCUCUUUAUCGUCGAUCUCUGGGUACUGCCAGGACCUCACACACCACAGCCACACACCCCAUCUCCCUUGCUCAAGGGGGGACAGUCACCACUCCUAGUCAACGGAAAGAAUCCGGCCUGAGCGGGCUCAAACCGCCGCCCGGUCAGACAUUGAACCCUGGCAGCGCAGCGCCUCUAACCAGUUGCGCCACGGAGUGUGUGUGUGUGUGUGUGUGUGUGUGUGUGUGUAAACUGAGUGUUAAGAAAGAGAACGCAGCCUUGGGAGUCCAGGUAGGGGAACACGCUCGCUUGAACUAAACACAAAUUAUAACCAACCGACGUAGCCUAGUAUAAUUUCACGCGCUACAAACACCAAAGACUUGAAAGAUAGAUAGCUAGUACACAAGGUUAUAAAUAUCGACUUUUACGGUGAUCUCUUUAGUCUUACCAGGCUCCAUGUCUCUACCCUUGUGGACCAUCUACAUGUAGUCUUAGAUUUUUUUUUUCACAGCUAACGAGAUCCUCCUUCUUGUGUAAGUUGUAGUUGGGAAAGUUCUUUGUCCUGCAGUGGAUGUUUCUGCCGCAGCUGCUGCUGUUAUUGCCCCUGUAGAUGAUGAUGAGGAUAAUGAAGAU